rnacentral:rRNA from 1 species
CGCCUCUUGACUAACCAUAGGAGGUCCAGCCUGCCCAGUGACUCUGUUCAACGGCCGCGGUAUCCUAACCGUGCGAAGGUAGCGUAAUCACUUGUUCUUUAAAUGAGGACUAGUAUGAAUGGCACCACGAGGGCUACACUGUCUCCUUUUUUUAAUCAGUGAACUUAAUCUUCCCGUGAAGAAGCGGGAAUAAACCUAUAAGACGAGAAGACCCUAUGGAGCUUAAAACAACAUAGCACUUGCCACAUAACACAAAAAUUUCUGAAUACCCUAAUUUUUCAAAGCAACAUGACUAUAAGUUUUUGGUUGGGGUGACCGCGGAGCAUAACACAACCUCCACGUUGAACGAACUUUAUUCUAAGCCACGAACCACUUUCCUAAGCAUCAAUACAUUGACAUUAAUUGACCCAAUAUAUUUGACCAACGAACCAAGUUACCCUAGGGAUAACAGCGCAAUCCACUUCAAGAGCCCCUAUCGACAAGUGGGUUUACGACCUCGAUGUUGGAUCAGGGUCUCCCAGUGGUGCAGCCGCUGCUAAAGGUUCGUUUGUUCAACGAUUAAAACCCUACG